UGGGUUGUGGCUCAGUGGUAGGGCACUUGCCUGGUGUGUAUGAGGCACUGGGUUCGAUUCUCAGCACCACAU
rfam:Ictidomys tridecemlineatus contig146226, whole genome shotgun sequence.